AACAAUGUGUAAUGAUGACUAUCUUGGCAAACACUGUCUAAUGGCCAGCAAUUGAUACAUGACUCAAGGAGGACAUGAAUUCAGCUCCACUGGAAUCUUGGUCUCCAUCUAUCGGAUAUAAGACUCUGGGAGAAUGUUAUAUACAGUGACCACUGAUUGGGGAAUGGC
rnacentral:lncRNA from 1 species